rnacentral:rRNA from 1 species
GAUGAACGCUGGCGGCGUGCCUAAUACAUGCAAGUCGAGCGAACAGACGAGGAGCUUGCUCCUCUGACGUUAGCGGCGGACGGGUGAGUAACACGUGGAUAGCCUACCUAUAAGACUGGGAUAACUUCGGGAAACCGGAGCUAAUACCGGAUAAUAUAUUGAACCGCAUGGUUCAAUAGUGAAAGACGGUUUUGCUGUCACUUAUAGAUGGAUCCGCGCCGCAUUAGCUAGUUGGUAAGGUAACGGCUUACCAAGGCAACGAUGCGUAGCCGACCUGAGAGGGUGAUCGGCCACACUGGAACUGAGACACGGUCCAGACUCCUACGGGAGGCAGCAGUAGGGAAUCUUCCGCAAUGGGCGAAAGCCUGACGGAGCAACGCCGAGUGAGUGAUGAAGGUCUUCGGAUCGUAAAACUCUGUUAUUAGGGAAGAACAAAUGUGUAAGUAACUAUGCACGUCUUGACGGUACCUAAUCAGAAAGCCACGGCUAACUACGUG